AACGAACGCUGGCGGCAGGCUUAACACAUGCAAGUCGAGCGCGUAGCAAUACGAGCGGCAGACGGGUGAGUAACGCGUGGGAAUCUACCCAACUCUACGGAAUAACUCAGGGAAACUUGUGCUAAUACCGUAUACGCCCUUCGGGGAAGGAUUAUCGGAGUUGGAUGAGCCCGCGUUGGAUUAGCUAGUUGGUGGGGUAA
rnacentral:rRNA from 1 species